CUGGGAUCCUCAGAGAUGGAGAUCUGGAUGUGAAGAGAAAGAGAAAAACAAAAGUCAACAGACAGUACUGUGACCAAGUCAGUGAUGGUGAGAUCAGCAGCAUCUCUAGGACCCUUCUGAUUGACAUGAAGUCACCAUCAAGUAGGCAGAACUCACAGGACUUAUGGAGCAAGGAUGACUGACACAAACACAAAAAUCAUUCUGCCUGUUGAAUGAAUCAUAAAAUACUGUCUUUGAUCCAGGAGGCUUGUGUCAUCUGCCAGCAUUUAUGAAACUGUGCUCCAAGUAGGCUCCUGUAUCAGCAGUGCUUGCCCCUGAUAGAUGAUGAUCAUGGGGGGACCAGGAGCCUCUAGACUUAGAGAACUUUCCCCACCCUCCCUGUGGAGUGUUUCCCUCCCCAGCACCCCCUGCUGGUCAGUUUGACAAACAGAUGAACAGAAGUUCUCAAAUACACAGUAAGCAGAUAACCCCAACAUCACCAGAAAUAUCAACUUGUGAUGGCAUUUUGUCAAGUUGUCUUUGUUAUCGGCAUCAUCUGUUGCUUUCUGAGGGAAGUAUUUUGAGUUCUCCUACUGAGACUGUGGAUUUGCCUAUUUCUUUUUGUAUGUCAGCUUUUGCCAUAUGUAUUUUGUAGUUGUGUUGUGAGGAAGAUUCAUGACUUAUCUUGUGGGAGAAUUCUGUAUUUAGCAGAUUUUCGUCUUAAGUUCUGUUUUGCUUAGUAUUGAUGUUAUUACUUUGCUUUUUCAGUUUCAAAAUCAUUUAGUAUAUCUUUUUCCUUUCUUUUAGCCUUUGUGUUUUUAUUUCAGAUGUGCUUUCUUAUGUACUGACUGUGAUCCCCAAAUUCAUAUGUUGAAGUCCCAACUCCAAAUGUAUUUGGAGGUGGGCCUUUCAGAC
rnacentral:lncRNA from 10 species